ensembl:misc_RNA Metazoa_SRP Metazoan signal recognition particle RNA
GCCGGGCGUGGUGGCGCACGUCUGUAAUCCCAGCUACUUGGGAGGCUGAGGCAGGAGAAUCGCUUGAACCCAGGAGGCGGAGGUUGCAGUGAGCCAAGAUCACGCCACUGCACUCCAGCCGGGGCAACAGAGUGAGACUCUGCCUCAA